UGUGUGUCAAAUUUGUAUCUAUUUGUCUAGGUGGAGAGAAUGCAUGGGUAGGUGAAUAGCAGUGAAUGAACCUUUGGAAGGUUUCCCAUCUCAAAGCAAGGCACUGGCAAUUCACUUUUGGGUGGAUGUGGGUGGAGGUGGGUUUAAAUUUAGACCCAACAAAAACACUCUCCUCAGAAAGUGAUACCCUUCUUUCUUCUGGAGUAUCAAAACCAUGAAAGUCAUAAUCUUUCUCUCUGUGAAGUCCACUGCAAGAAAGCUCAAAAACAGGUUUCCUUUUGAUUUUUAUUUCUAUUUUGAUGUUCUGUAUACAUGCCUUUUAAGCCGCCAGAAAUCAUUUUGGAGGGUGCAUGCUUCAUGAGACUUGACGCGCACUAAGGAAUCAUUAAAUCACGAGAAAAUGGAGCAAAGAUUGGUGAGGCCAAGGCUUCCUAAGGGGCUCAGUGGGGCGGGCAGACCAGGCAAGGGGCAGGCAAUGCGCCCUGCAGGGGCUGAGGCAAGGUCUCCAGUGCGGGGUUCUCAAGGCUGUGACUCCCCUAAGGAGGCACCUGCAGGCUCAGACUACUGCAGGAUCAGCGCGAGACUCCCCCCACCUCGCCAGCAACACUUCCAGCUUGGAGAGAGGAUGAGCCGUUGGAGGAGCUCUCAGGUCCCAGGAGGGAGCAGAAAUCAUCCUGCUGCAAGGGGCCAUGCUGGUCACCACCCCCACCGCACCCCCCGGCCUGUACCCAGGGACCUGGGUGCCAGAGCCCGAAGCCUAGUAAUCCAGGGCGAGCAUCUGAAGCCCACAUCCAGCCCUUACCAGCCUGACGACCUCGGGCAAGCUCUCAAGAGCCCGAGAAGCCAGCAUGGGGUGGGGGUGGGAGUGGGUAACGAUGCUGCUACCCCACGGGGCUAAGACUGCAGGAGCAACUGCGCACAGCACUUCGCACAAUGCCUGGCACCCACCAAGGGCCUGAUAGUCUGAUGGAUGUGGGCAGGAAGGGUGGCCCAGAUGGAUUCCUGGAGAGCUGGGGACCCCGGGAUAGUGGGACCCAGGGCUCAACCCCGCAGAUCGCCCCCCAAGAGCUGGGGACCCGGGCAGGGAGGCCGAGGCUCGCCCCGCGGACUGACCCCCAAGGGCUGGGGACCCGGGCAGGGAGGNCCCUCCCCUGCCCCGGCUUGUCCGCAGGACGCCCCGCGGCCCCGCUCCGGGGUCCUCCCUCCGGCCGCACCGGGCCCCGUGGCCCGCUGCCCGGCGGCGACAGCGGCACGGCGGGGCGGGAACCCACAGCCAGGGAGCAGGGCUCCCGCCAGGACCGCCGAGGACACCCGGGGAGCAGCCGGAGACCGAGGCCGCGGCCCGGAGCUGGAGGCUGCAGCCCUUGGCCCGGAACACCCGACCCUCCCGGGAGCGCGGAACCCGCCGCUGAGGGCCCAGGAGGCCCUGCCGGGACCGGAAGCCAACAGCCGCACUUCCGGCGGGGGAGGGGUGCAGGGCGGAGGCGGGCUCGCGUCGCCCAAAGGCGUCACUUCCGGGCGCGGCGCGGUGAGCGCGGGCGGCAUGGCGGGUGGGAGCGGGACCCGGAGCGGCCGCGGGAGCGGGGGCAGGAGGGCGGGAGCCCGGGACGCGGGGACCGGGACCCCGCCCGCCGACCCCUGCCGCCGGGAGCGGCUCCCGAGCAGUGCGGUUGA
ensembl:lncRNA